rnacentral:rRNA from 1 species
UACGGAAGGCAGCAGUGGGGAAUAUUGCACAAUGGGCGCAAGCCUGAUGCAGCCAUGCCGCGUGUAUGAAGAAGGCCUUCGGGUUGUAAAGUACUUUCAGUCGUGAGGAAGGUGUUAAGGUUAAUAACCUUAGCAAUUGACGUUAGCGACAGAAGAAGCACCGGCUAACUCCGUGCCAGCAGCCGCGGUAAUACGGAGGGUGCGAGCGUUAAUCGGAAUUACUGGGCGUAAAGGGCACGCAGGCGGUUAAUUAAGUUGGAUGUGAAAUCCCCGGGCUUAACCUGGGAAUGGCAUUCAAGACUGGUUAGCUAGAGUCUUGUAGAGGGGGUAGAAUUCCAUGUGUAGCGGUGAAAUGCGUAGAGAUGUGGAGGAGUACCGGUGGCGAAGGCGGCCCCUGGGACAAAGACUGACGCUCAUGUGCGAAAGCGUGGGGAGCAAACAGGAUUAGAUACC